GAUGAACGCUAGCGACAGGCUUAACACAUGCAAGUCGAACGGCAGCAUGGGUGCUUGCACCUGAUGGCGAGUGGCGAACGGGUGAGUAAUGCAUCGGAACGUACCCGGAAGUGGGGGAUAACGUAGCGAAAGUUACGCUAAUACCGCAUAUUCUGUGAGCAGGAAAGCGGGGGAUCGCAAGACCUCGCGCUUCCGGAGCGGCCGAUGUCGGAUUAGCUAGUUGGCGGGGUAAAGGCCCACCAAGGCAACGAUCCGUAGCGGGUCUGAGAGGAUGAUCCGCCACACUGGGACUGAGACACGGCCCAGACUCCUACGGGAGGCAGCAGUGGGGAAUUUUGGACAAUGGGGGCAACCCUGAUCCAGCCAUGCCGCGUGAGUGAAGAAGGCCUUCGGGUUGUAAAGCUCUUUCGGCUGGGAAGAAAUCGCAUCUCCUAAUACGGGGUGUGGAUGACGGUACCAGCAUAAGAAGCACCGGCUAACUACGUG
rnacentral:rRNA from 1 species